rnacentral:rRNA from 1 species
GACGAACGCUGGCGGCGUGCCUAAUACAUGCAAGUAGAACGCACAGUUUAUACCGUAGCUUGCUACACCAUAGACUGUGAGUCGCGAACGGGUGAGUAACGCGUAGGUAACCUGCCUGGUAGCGGGGGAUAACUAUUGGAAACGAUAGCUAAUACCGCAUAAUAUUGAUUAUUGCAUGAUAAUUGAUUGAAAGAUGCUAUUGCAUCACUACCAGAUGGACCUGCGUUGUAUUAGCUAGUAGGUGAGGUAACGGCUCACCUAGGCGACGAUACAUAGCCGACCUGAGAGGGUGAUAGGCCACACUGGGACUGAGACACGGCCCAGACUCCUACGGGAGGCAGCAGUAGGGAAUCUUCGGCAAUGGACGAAAGUCUGAACGAGCAACGCCGCGUGAGUGAAGAAGGGUGUCGGAUCGUAAAGCUCGGUUGUAAGAGAAGAACGGGUGUGAGAGUGGAAAGUUCACAAUGUGACGGUAUCUUACCAGAAAGGGACGGCUAACUACGUG